GGCCCGGUAGUUCAGUUGGUUAGAACGCUAGCCUGUCACGCUAGAGGUCACGAGUUCGAGUCUUGUCCGGGUCG
rnacentral:tRNA from 1 species